rnacentral:rRNA from 1 species
AGAGUUUGAUCAUGGCUCAGGAUGAACGCUAGCUACAGGCUUAACACAUGCAAGUCGAGGGGCAGCAUGUUGGUUGCUUGCAACCAAUGAUGGCGACCGGCGCACGGGUGAGUAACGCGUAUCCAACCUACCCUUGUCCAUCGGAUAACCCGUCGAAAGGCGGCCUAACACGAUAUGCGGUUCACAGCAGGCAUCUAAGGUGAACGAAAUGUGAAGGAGAAGGAUGGGGAUGUGUCUGAUUAGCUUGUUGGCGGGGUAACGGCCACCAAGGCGACGAUCAGUAGGGGUUCUGAGAGGAAGGUCCCCCANAUUGGAACUGAGACACGGUCCAAACUCCUAGGGAGCA